UUAUAGGGUUAAAGAUGAUGGAGUGGAUGAGAAUGCUCUAACGUCUCUUUCUUCUCUCUGCAAUACAUACAAAAGCCAAAAGACUGGUCAAAAAUCAUACACGCUCCUGUACCCAACUUUCCCUUUUCUCUUCAUGUUCUUCUUUGUUCCCUCUGCUCUUUGUCUUUUUAGAUCCAUGUUCUCCUGGAUUUGAAAUUUGAAAAAGAGGUUUUGAAUUUCAAAUCUCCCUCAAUUCCAUAUUCAUUCAUCUUUCACGCCUCUCCCCUUUUCAUUCUUUCUCUUGUAUAGAACACCAAUUUAAAGAAAUCUACAGAUGUUCCAUUUCAAAACUCUAGAAGACGUUCCAUUGUAAAGUUCAAAUGCACUUGGAUUCUUCGACAUGCGUUCUCUCUCUCACUCUCAAUUUCGAUUUCAGAUUUCAAAGUUAUUUGUGUUGUAAAACCUGCUGUUCACCCAACUUAUGAUUUGAAGAAUUGAAUGUUUACAUGCAUCCAUUUCUGAAGAUACUGGAGACAAGGUGCUAAAACUAAACACGGCUUUUGGAUCCUUGCCUCUCAACCCUAAUUUCAGUUUAUCUCCGUCUCAACCAUCACUAUAUCUUUCUUCUUGCCUUCCCCAUCGAUGUAAACAUAGAAGUUCAUAUCUUCGGGUGUUAGUUUAUUUGAAUAGAUUAUAACUUUAGUUUGAAUCGAUUGAUCAGAUCACUUCGUCACUCACACAGGUACGUUUCAUUCAUCCUGUUUGCCCUAAUUUUGUCACUGUGUUAACCAUAUCUGAUUCGUCCUGUUGUUGUUACUGAAUCUGUAACGUUCGUUGAUGUUUAUUCAAUUGUUGUUCGUUUGUUCAUAUCUGUAAUCGAUUUGGAUCGAGUGAGUGUAGUGAUUGUAUUGUUCGAUGUUAUAUAUACUUCUUUUUUAUCUACAUUGAUUAUUAAAAUUUUGUCUUUGUGGUUUUAGAUUUAGAGGAUUAUGGUUUAGUGAGAUUUUAACUGCAUUGAUUAUUUAAUCACGGUGUCCAAUAACGAAAGUUCAAUUCGGCAUGUCAGUGCCCAGUGAUUCGAUCACAAAAAGCCUAAACACGACCAGGUAUCGUUACAGAUUAAUUAUACAGUUUUAGUUGUUCUAAUUUAUUCAGAUGAUCAUGUGGUGAAGGGCAUGUUAAACAUGUAGAAGAUUACAGUUUAUGAAGAGGCUGACUUAGCUACAAGAUCAAGAAUAUUGAACAUCGGAAGCAAAUGGAAGCGUCAAAGAUUCACUUGACCGCAUUCAUAAACACAAGGCGUUGGUAGUGGUCGCCGGUGGAGGUGACACUCCCUAGCCUCCGGUCAAUGAUGAAUGACGUUGAUAACAAGUUAAGUGCUGCAACUCGGGGCUGUUGUGGAGCAUAUUUGUGGACCAAUUUACACAAUCAAAGCACAUGAUGAUGCAGAUUCACUCCAAAUAAGAGCUAUUAGGAUACGGACACAAAGGAACUAGGCCAUCUGUUUAUGACAGACUUAUGAAAGGUCCAAUAUCCUCAAAUGGUUAUGAACUUCACUUGCCCCACCACAAUGAAAGAGCUUUGUAUUGUGCUUCUAUGGAGUAAAGGGAGUUACUAGAAGAGCUUGCAGAUUAGUAGGAAAUCCGACUCGACGAUUUUCAUUUUUUGCGAGUGUAGCUGGGUUGAUAAGUAAAAUCGAUCAAGUAGAUGGAUAUGUAUGUUUCAUUUAUUUGGUCUCUUUUAACGGUACUUUAUACAUGUAAUUUUAGAAGUUGUGAUAACUUCAAUUUCCACCGUUUGACAGUUAGUACUCAUAAUCCGUUAGUACAAGUUGGAUGAUCCAAAUCAAAAGGUCCGAUCCAUAUUCAUUCGGAUCUGUGUCCAUCUGAAAUUAAAUAGGUGUUUUGUAUUAUUGCCAUAUUGAAGUAAAUACCCUAAGUAAUUCAAUUUCUGUUUUUUUCU
rnacentral:lncRNA from 1 species